rnacentral:sRNA from 1 species
UGGCUGCCCAGCCUGACUAUCCUAUUGAGGGGCGGAGCCUCACGCCGGGACCUCUACCACGGCCGCCUCUGUUUAUGCGCUCACCAUUGGCCCCAGGGACUGCCAGUCGACUCUGGGGUGGACGCCAACUUGAGGUCUCAUCCUCACUCUGCAUCUAUUGGCAAAUAGAAAGUUUCUUCCUUAUGAUUGGACAGAGGGCUGUCAGUAAGACUAAGGCAAAAGCCAAUGGAACAGGUGGGGCGUUACUUGCCCCACCCUAGCCCUGAGCAGGGGAUUUGAUCUCCUGGAGGGAAGGGGGCACACAGGAGUGGAACUGGACAUUGCUGUGACCCUGUGACCAUGGUCUCCUUUGCACCUUGAACUUUAAGGAGAGGGCACAAGGGCAUCUAACCCAAUCUCCAGCUUCCCAGCCUUUAAAGGUCGCCACCGACCGUACCCAGCAAACAGAGCCACGGUGCUGGGUGAAGCAAAGGGAUCACCAAGCACACCCCGGAGGUCUCAAUGACUCAGUAGGAGUUGGGGCAGGACUCAGAAAUCUAGGGCCAGGCCCCUGGGGAAUUCAAGUCGAGGUCCUUGAAUAUUUCAUCAGCACUUCAGCUCCAGUUGAAGCAGCGGCCAGCUUACAGCUCAUGGAUAAUUUAUGAUCCCAACAGAGAACCUGGAAGUAGUGAGGGGGAAGGGCCUGGAGUGAGGGGGGAGGGCAGGGCCAAGCUGGAGAUAAGAGUGAAGGAGAGAAGCCAGCUGGACAGAAGUGAGUAUGAGAGGUUGGGAGCAAGAGCUCCCAACACCGUGAAACUCUUCCGUGUUUGAGGAUACCAAUGUGUUAAAAAAAAAAAUCAAUAAACAACACAGUGGUAAAAAA